UGGCCUGCCCMCUGAAUUGUUAAAUGGCCGCGGUACAUUGACCGUGCAAAGGUAGCAUAGUCAGUAGUUUUUUAAUUGAAAGCUUGUAUGAAAGGUUCGAUGAGAGAAAGACUGUCUCUAUAAGAUUUUGUUAGAAUUUUAUUUUUAAGUUAAAAAGCUUAAAUGUUGAUGGAAGACGAGAAGACCCUAUAGAGUUUAAUAGGCUAAGAUUUAGUUUAAUUUUCGGGAUUUUAUUUUGGACUAAUUUUAGUUUAUUUUGUUGGGGUGAUAGGAAAAUUAAUAAAACUUUUCUUUUAUUUUAUAUUGAUGAAUAGGUGGAUGAUCCUUAUUUAAAGAUAAAAAGAUCAAAUUACCUUAGGGAUAACAGCGUUAUUUUUUUUAGAGUUCUUAUCAAAAAAAAAGAUUGCGACCUCGAUGUUGGAUUAAAAUUAAUUAUUGGUGGAGAGGCUAAUAGGUUAGGUCUGUUCGACCUUUAAAAUUUUACAUGAUCUGAGUUUAAACCGGUGUGAGCC
rnacentral:rRNA from 1 species